UCAGAUCCAUGCCUGGAGUCAUAAGGAACUUGGAUGCUGUAUGUCCAGUAGUUCUGCUACAGUACAGGUACUUCAGUAAAGGUAACAUCAAGUUGAAAGAUUUGUGGACGUGCCAUGCCAGGGUACCAGGCGAGAAGUACUCACGGCUUCUAAGAAGAUACUCAUGUUGUUUUUUCUAAGAAAAGUCCUGGAAGCAAUGAAAGACAGGUCCCAGACAUGUUCCCAUCAUCCACCCCAUGGGGCAAAAAGGAUCCU